rnacentral:rRNA from 1 species
AUGGCUGAUGCAGAGCCAUGGAAAACAGUCAAGAUACCCCCGAUUGUGCAGGAGCUGGUGACCGGUGUGCAGGAGCCACCGAGCCGGUAUGUGAUCGCUGAGCACAACCGCCCCGCCGUGGUUGGUUCUGAGAUGCCCGAUCUCAUACCCAUCGUCGAUCUCAGCUGGCUGUCUGACAACUGUGCUAAUGAGGUUGCCAAGCUGCGGUCCGCCUUGGAGAACUCGGGCCUGUUCCUGAACCUGGCCAAGCUACUAGAUUUACACGAGGGCCACUUCGUCAACAUGUUCGAUGAGAAUGCCUUGACAUACGCCAGGUUAAACUACUAUCCUAACUGUCCAAAGCCGGACCACGUCUUCGGCAUGAAGCCCCACACCGAUGCCUCGGUGAUCACAAUCGUCUUCGUCGAUGAUAAUGUCAGCGGGCUCCAGCUUCAAAAAGAUGGCGUCUGGUACAAUGUACCCAUUGUUCCGAAUGCAUUACUCGUGAACAUGGGAGAUGUAAUGGAGAUAAUGAGCAAUGGAUUCUUCAAGAGCCCGAUUCACAGGGUUGUGACCAAUGCAGAGAAAGAGCGGCUAUCUUUGGUGAUGUUCUACACGUUGAACCCGGAGAAAGAGAUUGAGCCACUGCCAGAGCUGGUGGAUGAGAAAAGACCGAGGCGGUACAUGAAGACAACAACUAAUGACUACACAGCAAAACUCUUCGAAACUUUUGCUAGGGGGACACUAGCUAUCGACACAGUGAAGAUCUGA